rnacentral:lncRNA from 1 species
CCCAUCCAUUCUACAUCAUAAAACUACCCAAAAAUCCGUCCACAUAGCAAUCUGCUGCAAGCAAGCAAAGGAGAAUUCUUGGAUGCACUUGCUACCCAAGUUGGAGCAUUUUAGGUGUUUUCUUUCCUUUGAUUUUAAUAUCUAAUUUUAUAUAUCUUUGCUUUGUGAGUAUGAGGAACUAAACCCCUCUUAGUUAGGGGGUGAUUCGAAACCAUGUUCAUACUUGCAAUAUGAUUUGAUUACAUCCAGUUGUGAUUCAUAAGUUGUGAAUUCAAUUUACUUAUCUGAUCGUAUAAAAAAUGAUUUGUGUAUGUUGGUUGAGAGUGCACGCUUAAUUUUCAUGCAUGAAUUUAACGCUAGA